GAGUGACAUGAUGGCAUACCAUCUUUCGGGACUGACUCCUCAAUGGAGAGUGUUUUUAUUUUUACUGAUCACUC
ensembl:snoRNA small nucleolar RNA SNORD2